CAGGCGCGAAAACUCUACAAUGCAGGCAACUGCGAUAGGGGGACAUCGAGUGGCAUCCACCUUGGGUGCCUGUCCCACCGUCUAAAAAACGGUGGUUAGCAAGGGCCGGGCAAGACCGGUGCCAGCCGCCGCGGUAAUACCGGCGGCUCGAGUGGUGGCCGAUAUUAUUGAGUCUAAAGGGUCCGUAGCCGGCUUUGCAAGUCCCCUGGGAAAUCCAGCGGCUUAACCGUUGGGCUUUCAUGGGAUACUACAUUGCUUGGGACUGGGAGAGGUAGGAGGUACUCGGGGGGUAGGGGUGAAAUCCUGUAAUCCCCCGGGGACCACCGGUGGCGAAGGCGUCCUACCAGAACAGGUCCGACGGUGAGGGACGAAAGCUAGGGGCACGAACCGGAUUAGAUACCCGGGUAGUCCUAGCCGUAAACGAUGCCCGCUAGGUGUCACGGCGGUCGUGAAUCGCCGUGGUGCCGUAGGGAAGCCGCGAAGCGGGCCACUUGGGAAGUACGGCCGCAAGGCUGAAACUUAAAGGAAUUGGCGGGGGAGCAC
rnacentral:rRNA from 1 species